AGCGGUUGACGUGCCGCGUAUGUGUGAGAUACAACCUCACAACCCCAAAUGACUGCUUCUUCCCAGAUUGGUUGCGCUGCAAAGCCGCGCAACAACCCUCUUUGCCUGAUGACCAUAGCGAGUCGGUCCCACCCCUUCCCAUCCCGAACAGGACCGUGAAACGACUCCACGCCGAUGAUAGUGCGGAUUGCCCGUGUGAAAGUAGGUAAUCGUCAGGC
rnacentral:rRNA from 1 species